AGCGAACGCUGGCGGCAGGCUUAACACAUGCAAGUCGAGCGGGCACUUUCGGGUGUCAGCGGCGGACGGGUGAGUAACGCGUGGGAACGUGCCCUCUGGUUCGGAAUAACUCAGGGAAACUUGAGCUAAUACCGGAUACGCCCUUUUGGGGAAAGGCUUGCUGCCGAAGGAUCGGCCCGCGUCUGAUUAGCUAGUUGGUGAGGUAACGGCUCACCAAGUCGACGAUCAGUAGCUGGUCUGAGAGGAUGAUCAGCCACACUGGGACUGAGACACGGCCCAGACUCCUACGAGAGGCAGCAGAAGGGAAUAUUGGACAAUGGGCGCAAGCCUGAUCCAGCCAUGCCGCGUGAGUGAUGAAGGCCUUAGGGUUGUAAAGCUCUUUUAUCCGGGACGAUAAUGACGGUACCGGAGGAAUAAGCCCCGGCUAACUUCGUG
rnacentral:rRNA from 1 species